AGGCGUCGACGGGUAGCCGGCCUGAGAGGGUGACCGGCCACACUGGGACUGAGACACGGCCCAGACUCCUACGGGAGGCAGCAGUGGGGAAUAUUGCACAAUGGGCGAAAGCCUGAUGCAGCAACGCCGCGUGAGGGAUGACGGCCUUCGGGUUGUAAACCUCUUUUAGCAGGGAAGAAGCGAAAGUGACGGUACCUGCAGAAAAAGCGCCGGCUAACUACGUGCCAGCAGCCGCGGUAAUACGUAGGGCGCAAGCGUUAUCCGGAAUUAUUGGGCGUAAAGAGCUCGUAGGCGGUUUGUCGCGUCUGCUGUGAAAUCCCGAGGCUCAACCUCGGGCCUGCAGUGGGUACGGGCAGACUAGAGUGCGGUAGGGGAGAUUGGAAUUCCUGGUGUAGCGGUGGAAUGCGCAGAUAUCAGGAGGAACACCGAUGGCGAAGGCAGAUCUCUGGGCCGUAACUGACGCUGAGGAGCGAAAGGGUGGGGAGCAAACAGGCUUARAUACCCUGGUAGUCCACCCCGUAAACGUUGGGAACUAGUUGUGGGGACCAUUCCACGGUUUCCGUGACGCAGCUAACGCAUUAAGUUCCCCGCCUGGGGAGUACGGCCGCAAGGCUAAAACUCAAAGGAAUUGACGGGGACCCGCACAAGCGGCGGAGCAUGCGGAUUAAUUCGAUGCAACGCGAAGAACCUUACCAAGGCUUGACAUAUACGAGAACGGGCCAGAAAUGGUCAACUCUUUGGACACUCGUAAACAGGUGGUGCAUGGUUGUCGUCAGCUCGUGUCGUGAGAUGUUGGGUUAAGUCCCGCAACGAGCGCAACCCUCGUUCUAUGUUGCCAGCACGUAAUGGUGGGAACUCAUGGGAUACUGCCGGGGUCAACUCGGAGGAAGGUGGGGAUGACGUCAAAUCAUCAUGCCCCUUAUGUCUUGGGCUUCACGCAUGCUACAAUGGCC
rnacentral:rRNA from 1 species